rnacentral:rRNA from 1 species
UAGUCUACGCCGUAAACGAUGGAUACUAGUUGUUUGAUCUUCGGAUUGAGUGACUAAGCGAAAGUGAUAAGUAUCCCACCUGGGGAGUACGUUCGCAAGAAUGAAACUCAAAGGAAUUGACGGGGGCCCGCACAAGCGGUGGAGCAUGUGGUUUAAUUCGAUGAUACGCGAGGAACCUUACCAGGGCUUAAAUGUAGUCUGACAGGGCCAGAGAUGGCUUUUUCUUCGGACAGAUUACAAGGUGCUGCAUGGUUGUCGUCAGCUCGUGCCGUGAGGUGUCAGGUUAAGUCCUAUAACGAGCGCAACCCCUGUGGUUAGUUGCCAGCGAGUAGUGUCGGGAACUCUAGCCAGACUGCCGGUGCAAACCGUGAGGAAGGUGGGGAUGACGUCAAAUCAUCACGGCCCUUACGUCCUGGGCCACACACGUGCUACAAUGGUAGGGACAGAGAGCAGCCACUGGGCGACCAGGAGCGAAUCUAUAAACCCUAUCUCAGUUCGGAUUGGAGU